GUGCCAGCAGCCGCGGUAAUACGUAGGUGGCAAGCGUUGUCCGGAUUUAUUGGGCGUAAAGCGAGCGCAGGCGGUUUUUUAAGUCUGAUGUGAAAGCCCCCGGCUCAACCGGGGAGGGUCAUUGGAAACUGGAAGACUUGAGUGCAGAAGAGGAGAGUGGAAUUCCAUGUGUAGCGGUGAAAUGCGUAGAUAUAUGGAGGAACACCAGUGGCGAAGGCGGCUCUCUGGUCUGUAACUGACGCUGAGGCUCGAAAGCGUGGGGAGCAAACAGGAUUAGAUACCCUGGUAGUCC
rnacentral:rRNA from 1 species